rnacentral:rRNA from 1 species
GGCUCAGGAUGAACGCUAGCUACAGGCUUAACACAUGCAAGUCGAGGGGAAACGAUAGAGAAAGCUUGCUUUUUCUAGGCGUCGACCGGCGCACGGGUGAGUAACGCGUAUCCAACCUGCCCAUCACUUGGGGAUAACCUUGCGAAAGUAAGACUAAUACCCAAUGACGUCUCUAGAAGACAUCUGAAAGAGAUUAAAGAUUUAUCGGUGAUGGAUGGGGAUGCGUCUGAUUAGCUUGUUGGCGGGUAACGGCCCACCAAGGCGACGAUCAGUAGGGGUUCUGAGAGGAAGGUCCCCCACAUUGGAACUGAGACACGGUCCAAACUCCUACGGGAGGCAGCAGUGAGGAAUAUUGGUCAAUGGACGAGAGUCUGAACCAGCCAAGUAGCGUGCAGGAUGACGGCCCUAUGGGUUGUAAACUGCUUUUAUAAGGGAAUAAAGUGAGUCUCGUGAGACUUUUUGCAUGUACCUUAUGAAUAAGGACCGGCUAAUUCCGUG